rnacentral:lncRNA from 1 species
UGCUACAAAAUGUUUCUCAUCUCACUAGCAUCCUAGCGGUAGGUAGUGCUGAUACACCCAUUCCUCCGAAGAGAAAGCCAGGGAAUUACAAACUUAUUUAUUUACAAAAUGCAUAGUCAGAACAAGGGUGAACGGAGAUUCCCAGCCCAGAAAUUAUGUUUCCAUAAAUGUCCUGUGCUCUAGGUAGGUAGUGAGAGUUAGGCACGAAACACAAAAUAAAGAAGAGAAAGAGUUACAAAUUCAACGCAAACACAUCCGAAAUGGCACACCGGGGACAGGAACUGGUCCAGCAGCUUAAAUGAGUCAAGAUAAACGAGUAGCACAAGAAAGUGAGUUCCCACUUUAGCAUGAUUGAUAAUCUGAGCCAUCCUCUAACAAAUGAGAGGCGGGUCGGGCAGUUUAUGUAUUUUAGCAUAAUAGACGCCGGCCUUCAAGAAUAAAUUGGCCCGCCAAAGCCCAACAACUCCCAGGCUCAAACCCUGGUUGGAGGUUGGAGCCGGCAAGGGAUGGUGUGGUGUGCUACUAUGUCCGGUGUGGCCCCGGAAAGAUGCAGCGAGAUUCUCGGUGGCUGCGACCUUCGCAGAGGAGUCUGGGACUGAACUGGUGUGGCUAUUGCCACCGCCGCUGCUCCCGGAGGCUGGGGGCUGGAGGCCACAGGGCAGCAUCUGUCGACCGAAGGGGAGAGGGUUAGCAGAGGUAAACACAAUGCCUUUUUCCGGCUCAAAACCAGGGUUUAAAAAAAGGCAGGGAGCUACCAGUGGCGCGGAAACAGCAGAACCGAAAUGACAGGGGACCACGAGGAGGAGGAGGGACCGAACUACAGGCGACUGCUGAUGACGUCCAGGAGCAGGGGCUUGUCGCUGUUUCCGACUUGGUCACUCAUAGAUUUUUGAUAAGCAUGGAGUCAAGGCCUGUUAAAACAAGGAAUAUCAGGACAUAGGAAACCCUGUGUGACCACCCCAAUUCAAGAACAGAGUCUCUAGACAUGUGAUCAUCAAGAACACACCUGCAGUCAAGGAAGUUGAUACUUUACUCAUUGCAAGAGGAAAAUGCACAUCAUUGAGAAUGACAGAAUGAUUCAAUUUUGUCUAGGAGAGAUGAAUACAGAAAAUCCAAAGCUGGCAUCAAUAAAAAUCAGGAGUCACUUUGAAUAUUUAAUUACAGUGUGCAACCUAAGAGCCUUCAUCCAGCAGCUGAUGGAAGUAGAAGCAGACACCCACAGCUAAAAACUGAACUGAACUGGAAUCCACUUACAGAGAAGGAGGAGUGAUGAGCAAAGGGGUCAAGACCAUGCUGGUGAAACCCACAGAAACAGCUGACCUGAACAAGGGGGGGCUCUUGGUCCCCAGACUGAUCAGUGGGAAACCAGCAUGGAACUGAUCCAGACCCCAUAAAUGUGGGUGUCAGUGAGGAGGUCUUGGAAAUCUAUGGGGACUCUUGUAGUAGACCAGUACUUAUCCCUAGCAUAGGAAUGGACUUUGGGAGACCAUUUCAUAUAGAGGGAUACUCCCUUAGCCUAGACACACUGGGGGAGGACCUAGGCCCUAUCCCAAAGGAUAUGACAGACUUUGAAGACCCCCCCUGGAAGGCCUCACCCUCCCUGGGGAGCAGAAAG